UUUCGCCUGUUUUACAAAAACAUUUCUUUUGGGUUUAAUUAAAAGUAAAGCCUGCCCACUGAAUUAUUAAAGGGCCGCGGUAUUUUGACCGUGCUAAGGUAGCAUAAUCAUUAGUCUCUUAAUUAGGGAAUUGUAUGAAUGGUUAAACCUUUAUUUUCUUUAUACCUUGAAUAAUCUUAAUUUUUAAUUAAGGUAAAAAUACCUUAAGGCUUCAAAAAGACGAUAAGACCCUUUAGAGCUUGAUGUUAAUUUUAAAGUAUUUUUAUAGGGGGUAAGAAUACUUUGUAGUUAAUGUUUAGUUGGGGCAAUUAAAGAAUAAUUAUAACUUCUUUAUAGUUUGAAAAUCUUAAGGUUUAAAAUUUAAAAAGUUACCUAAGGGAUAACAGCGUUAUAAUAAUUGAGAGUUCACAUCGACGUUAUUGUUUGCGACCUCGAUGUUGAAUUAAAGGGGGUUCUUAGGGCAGUUUUUAAGUGUCCUAGUCUGUUCGACUAUUAAAAUUUUACAUGAUUUGAGUCA
rnacentral:rRNA from 1 species